UAAAAAUUGUUCCAGCAAACUUUCUUUCCUUCUUCUCGUUCCUUCUCAUCAUCAGAUUUGGAAAAUUGGUUCGAGCGAUUAUGUCGCAUAAUGUAACAAGCAGGCGGAUUGGCAAGCGGACCGGGGGAAUUAUUAAAUCGGCUACGCUCUCGGGGAGCGCGGUGGUGGUGGAGAAUAUUUCAACCGGGUUACCUUGAAAAAUAUUUGUCAUGAGUGAGCGUGCUCGUGCGUGUUCUCGGAUACACGAGAAACUGGGCCGGCUGCCUAACUUCUAGCCGACCUUUCUAUUAUCGGAUCCCUAUCAGAUAUCAUCAUUAUUGAGGAAACUUUAUUGGCCACCGAAAUAUCCGCGGCCGCGAAAUAAAUUGUCGCACGUGCGACAAGGGCCGACUCAUCCGCUUUGUCACGUUUAACGAAUGCGUUAAUGAGCGAUUAACGAGCGUUAAGAUCCAUCGAAUCACGGCGCGUGAAAUUCGAUCGCGUGUGUCGAAUCGAUCCUUGCUUUCGUUGUUCGAGACAAGUCGAGAACUUUGUCAAAGAUGGAUGGAGGUUAUGUCGACCAACUAGAUUGUAUCAUAUUAAAUCGAGAUAAUAAUAAGAUUUUGAACGAUUUUGGAAUUUAUUUGAUUGAAUGGGAAAAAAGGAAAUGGAAGCUCAAUAAAUACACGUCUCUCGUAUGUUUGAUCGAAAAGUACUAUUUUUUUAUCAUCCAAUUUAAAAUUAGAAAGAUAUGUUAAAUAAGAUUGAUACAUCUAAUGGAGAAGAAAAUGCAUAUGAUCGAAAGAGGAGAAGAAAAUAUUUGUUUAACAACAGGAUCCGCAAUAGGAUUAUUUAAUAGAACGCAGAUUCCAGCGAGGGGGAUUAAAAAUUUACAACGCGCUGAACCGAACGAUUAAUUCUGGCGAAUAUUCACCAGAAUGUUACAUCGUAAAGGCCGACCAACAAUGGUUAGACUAAUUAAGCCAGGUGUUCGAUAACGGCGGCAACAAAGUGGACGAAAUUGCAUCAAAAUUAGGAUGCCGAGUGUGCCGUUGGAAAUUGAAAUUGAAGAUUGUCCAAGUAUUAUUGGCAGACUGGUUUCUGGUGAAUAAUGAAUCUCUAUAUUUAACUACACGCGAGUGAGGAGCGCGUAAACGUAAAAGAAUACAGAAGCGCUUUCUUCGAUGAUCGUGAGAUUUGAAGGGAAUCGUGUUUCCUUUCCUCUCCUUUCCUUUCUCGCGAAAAUUUUAAUAUUGGAAUUAUCUAGGAAUCUAGGGAUCCCUAGAUUUUUCUUUUUUUCUUUUAUCGGAUCAUUAUCGAAAAUUGUCAAAUUCGUUUCGCCAGACGGAAUGGAUUUUGCGCAUAAAUUUUCCAGGACGAUAAAUUCGAUCAGCCAAAAUUCAAUGGCGACUCGGCCGCAUAUUUCAUCGAGAUUGAUAGGCAAACCCGGCACUGGAAGUUGCGUCGUAAAUCUCGCGAUAAUUAACUCCGGUGAACUGCACCAAAAUUCUUAUGAUCUCGCAAACUUCUUGCGCGAUAUUAAUUCUCUCUUAUUGGACUGCAGCUUGGAAACUUUAUAUUUUAACGUUUGACGGGACGAAAUAUUAGAAAAAAAUUAAAAUUUAAUC
rnacentral:lncRNA from 1 species